UACGAGGGGGGCAAGCGUUGUUCGGAAUUACUGGGCGUAAAGCGCACGCAGGCGGUCUAAUAAGUCAGAGGUGAAAUCCCGGAGCUUAACUUCGGAAUUGCCUUUGAAACUAUUAGACUAGAGUACGGUAGAGGGUGGUGGAAUUCCUAGUGUAGAGGUGAAAUUCGUAGAUAUUAGGAGGAACACCAGUGGCGAAGGCGGCCACCUGGACCGUUACUGACGCUCAUGUGCGAAAGCGUGGGGAGCAAAC
rnacentral:rRNA from 1 species